rnacentral:rRNA from 1 species
UACGUAGGGGGCUAGCGUUGUCCGGAUUUAUUGGGCGUAAAGAGCGUGUAGGCGGCCAGGUAGGUCUGGUGUGAAAACUCGAGGCUUAACCUCGAGAUGUCAUCGGAAACCAUCUGGCUAGAGUCCGGAAGAGGAGAGUGGAAUUCCUGGUGUAGCGGUGAAAUGCGCAGAUAUCAGGAAGAACACCAAUGGCGAAAGCAGCUCUCUGGGACGGUACUGACGCUGAGACGCGAAAGCGUGGGGAGCGAACCGG